GAAGCUGACCAGACAGUCGCCGCUUUGUUGCCGUCCUCUUUCGGGGGGAGACAGACAGAGGGGAGGAAAGUCCGGGCUCCAUAGGGCAGGGUGCCAGGUAACGCCUGGGGGGUGAUGAGCCUACGACCAGUGCAACAGAGAGCAAACCGCCGAUGGCCCAUUUAUGGGAUCAGGUAAGGGUGAAAGGGUGCGGUAAGAGCGCACCGCGCGGCUGGCAACAGUCCGUGGCACGGUAAACUCCACCCGGAGCAAGGCCAAAUAGGGGUUCACUUGGUACGGCCCGUACUGAACCCGGGUAGGCUGCUUGAGCCAGUGAGCGAUUGCUGGCCUAGAUGAAUGACUGUCCACGACAGAACCCGGCUUAUCGGUCAGUUUCACUU
rnacentral:RNase_P_RNA from 1 species